rnacentral:rRNA from 1 species
AUUGAACGCUGGCGGCAUGCCUUACACAUGCAAGUCGAACGGUAGAGGGGCAACCCUUGAGAGUGGCGAACGGGUGAGUAAUGCAUCGGAACGUGCCCAGUCGUGGGGGAUAACGUAGCGAAAGCUACGCUAAUACCGCAUACGACCCGAGGGUGAAAGCGGGGGACUCGCAAGGGCCUCGCGCGAUUGGAGCGGCCGAUGUCAGAUUAGGUAGUUGGUGGGGUAAAGGCCUACCAAGCCGACGAUCUGUAGCUGGUCUGAGAGGACGACCAGCCACACUGGGACUGAGACACGGCCCAGACUCCUACGGGAGGCAGCAGUGGGGAAUUUUGGACAAUGGGCGCAAGCCUGAUCCAGCCAUGCCGCGUGCGGGAAGAAGGCCUUCGGGUUGUAAACCGCUUUUGUCAGGGAAGAAGUCUUCUGGGUUAAUACCUCGGGAGGAUGACGGUACCUGGAGAAUAAGCACCGGCUAACUACGUGCCAGCAGCCGCUGUAAAAC